ACAGCAGCCGCCGCGGUAAUACGAAGGGGGCUAGCGUUGUUCGGAUUUACUGGGCGUAAAGCGCACGUAGGCGGACUUUUAAGUCAGGGGUGAAAUCCCGGGGCUCAACCCCGGAACUGCCUUUGAUACUGGAAGUCUUGAGUAUGGUAGAGGUGAGUGGAAUUCCGAGUGUAGAGGUGAAAUUCGUAGAUAUUCGGAGGAACACCAGUGGCGAAGGCGGCUAACUGGACCAUUACUGACGCUGAGGUGCGAAAGCGUGGGGAGCAAACAGGAUUAGAUACCCCGGUAGUCCCUGUCUCUUAUAC
rnacentral:rRNA from 1 species